GGGCGCCUACGGGAGGCAGCAGUGAGGAAUAUUGGUCAAUGGGCGCAAGCCUGACCCAGCAACGCCGCGUGAAGGAAGAAGGCUUUCGGGUUGUAAACUUCUUUUCUCAGGGACGAAGCAAGUGACGGUACCUGAGGAAUAAGCCACGGCUAACUACGUGCCAGCAGCCGCGGUAAUACGUAGGUGGCAAGCGUUAUCCGGAUUUACUGGGUGUAAAGGGCGUGUAGGCGGGACUGCAAGUCAGAUGUGAAAACCACGGGCUCAACCUGUGG
rnacentral:rRNA from 1 species